rnacentral:lncRNA from 1 species
CAGGCUUACUUGGAGCUGGAGGGCGGGUCUUCUCAGGAGUCGAGCAUGGUCAUUGGUGAAGCCAGCCGGAAGAGGUGGGCAGGAAGGCGGUACGCCACGGCUUCCGGUGGGCUGCCUGAGGAGGGGAGCGAGAGGCGACGGCCGCGGGGACGCUCAGGGCGGGGCUCGAAGCACGGAAACGGCCCCCAGCUUCGCGUCCCCACCUCCAUCUCGGUGCACAGCAGCCUGCCUUCUGGGUCCUGGGCGGGGCCAAAGCCCCGCAGUUUGCUGGGUUGUGCGUCUUUUACUGGGGAGAGGGCGAAGAGACGUCUCCCCAGAGCCCAGGGCCCUGGAGACCUUGGGGAUUCCGUCGGGGCCCCACCCCCCACUCCCGGCAGGACUCCCCCUGCUGUACUGAGGGCGGAUGGCCCAGGACAGUGUAUUAGGGGUGCCCAAGGACCGUGGGAGCGGGGAGGGUGGGCGGCAACCCCGCCAAUAUGCCAAAGGGCAGGGUCAGGGGGUCUUCGCUUGGCCCCUCCCUCCAGUCCUGGCGUCUGAGGGCGGCCUUGACCUGCGGUCUUGAUGCCGUCCACCCUCCCAGGGUCUCGAAUCUGGCCGCCUCCAGCCGCUCCCACCCAUUGCCCGGCCCACCGUGUUCCACAGCCCGUGAGUGUGACUGGGAUGAUUCUCUGUGAAGCCCGGAUCCUGCCCCCUUCCCCCCGCCCCACACGGAGUAACAAGGGAGAGGUGGGCAGAGCUGAGCCCAGUGCCCAGAAACGUGGAGUCGGCCAGGGGUGCCAUGCUUCUGGAGGUAGGGAGGGCCCAAAGUAACACAGUCUUCCCCCUGUCACUCGACAGGUGUGGCCCGCUGGGAGGGAAUCUUGCCCAGGCACUCCUGUUCUCCAGGACCGCCUAUGGUUGCAGCCCUCAGUGCCUGCUGCCUGCCUCUUCCCUGGAGGUCCAGGUGUGGUCAGCCUUCUCUCGCUGGUGGGAAGCCACUGCCUUUCCUGCCACACGUUCCUCACCAAGAGGAUCUCCCAGCUCCUGGGUGAUGCUGCCCAGACCUCCUCAACACCCAGCGCCAUCACCCACUUCUUUGGCCAGUCGUUGCCGAGGCUUGUCUGUCUUUGGCUCCAGGAUGGCCCGCCAUCCAGUUGGAGCCACAGAUGAAAAGCAAUGCCAGUGUCCAGCUGCCCCAUGUGCCCAGAACCAGCAGCUCUGGAACCCCAGCCCCCGAGUACAUUCUUGGAGUCAUUUCAGGGCGGUGGGGUGGCGCUUUGGUUGGCAUUUUCCAAGGCCCUCUCCUGCACCCUUUUCCUUUGGGUCACUGGUCUUUUCUUAUUGACUGGUUCAAGUUCUCUAUACAUUAAUGAUAUGAGCCCUGAGUCACAUCUUGGUACUAUUUUUUGGCCCACUUUGUCACUUGUCUCUUGACUUUGUGGUUUGGGGUUUGUGUUUGACUAGGCAGACGAUCUUAGAGUUUGUGUCACCAGACUUUCCAGGGUCUUCCUAUUGGUUUCUGGGGUUUCUUGUCAGUUUGUUUGCUCCCAAUUGACUUACAGUGAUCUUCUCUAUUUAAAGUCAUCGUGUAUAAAUUACCCAUUGCUGAAUAACAAGGGGCUACCCAGGUGAAGGUAGCGUAAAAACCUGCCUGUCAACACAGGAGACAGAAGAGAUGUGGGUUGCGAAGAUCCCCUGGAGAAGGAAAUGGCAACCCACUCUAGUACUCUUGCCUGGAGAAUCCCAUGGACAGAGGAGCCUGGCAGGCUACAGUCCAUGGGGUCGCAAGGAGUCGGACACGACUGAGGUGACUUAGCAUGCAACCAUGUGUAGCAAAUUACCCCAGAUGUAGUGUAGUCCCUUAAAACAACCAGCACUGGUAAUCUCCCAGGUGUCUGAAGGACAGAAUUCUAGAAGGCCUGGCUGGGGCUUCUGGCCUGGGGUCCAUCACAGGCUGCAGUCAAGGCUUCUCUGGGGCCACAGCCCUCUGGUCUGCCUGGGGUGUUGGGGUGGGAGGGGGGUAGGCUCUGCUUCUGGAGGGUUCAUGGGGCUGCGGCAGGGGACGGUCCCUCCCCACCGGGCCUCUCCACCGGGCCUCUCCACCGGGCUGCUCGGGUCAGGCCUUCCCCAGAUCCAGCGAUCUCAGAGAGACAGAGCAGCCCCGAGAUGGAAGCCACAGUGUUUGUCUCGUAACUCAUCUCGAGGUGACACUCCAUCACCACUGCUGUGAUUUUAUGGGUCACACUGGUCACCCCGUGGAGAAGAGAACGGUACCCACGUGGGCCUAGGUUCUUCACGUUCGUGCCGCAUGAGAAGGCUCCAAGGAGUGUCCCUGCCCCUGAGCC